GCACUUGCCUAGCAUGUGUGAGGCCCUGGGUUUGAUCCUCAGCACCGCAGAAAUAAAUGAAUGGAGUAGGGGUAUUGUUUCCAACUACAGCAAAAAUAAAUAUUUUGUUUUAAAGAAAAGUGAAGUAUUGCUUUCCUCUCCUGGAGGAUAUCUUACUAAAUAUUUACUGGCACACCUCUAGUGUGUGAGUGAGUGUGUGUGUGUGUGUGUGUGUGUUCAGAAUGUAUGCAUACAUGUUUGUGUGAAGUAAACACAUUCAGGCAACAGUCUAUUUGAAUUCUCUACAUGUACUGUGAGUUGGGCAUCAGGGGUUAUGGACCCAUGUGUCUAUGCCGAGAUACUGCAUUGAUCUAAGCUGGGUUAGUUGACUUCCUUUUCAGGGCCACAGAAUCCUCAUAAAUGCUGAUUUCGGUUCCUCUUUGUGGGGACAGAUUCAGUGAGGUCUGUUCCUGAAGCAGGAACAUAAUUCUUCACCAUUUGUGUGGUCCUGGAUCUAGGUCAUGAAAUGGUUAGCAUGGUGGGCAGAUAGCUAUGGAUAGCAGAACGUUCAUAGCGUUGGCUACAUCAUGGGCAGAAGUCAUAAAGUUGUGUGAUUUCUUGGGCAUGAGGUGAGAUGGGAGAUGUUCUCUCCAUGCACAACCUUCUGAUAAGGAGCUGGGCAGCUACAGGGGCUGUUGGCUUCUCUGGGACACAGCUGGUGGCAGAGACACCUGGUUUCUUGGGUUAAGCUGUCGAAAGCCUGCAAAAUCUGUGCCUCAGCUACCAUGUGCCUCCCAAACCUCAUACACACACACACACACACACACACACACACACUCUAGAGGUAUGCUAGUAAGAUGUGCUUUAGGAGCAGGCAGAAGAGCCUUUACUUCUAGUUUACAGGAGUGUAACUCUCCCACCAUUCUUAAAUUUCACUACCAAACUGGUGCCACUAAACACAUUGUAUCACAGUGUUCAGUGAUGCACUGAACCUUGGGCAAGUAGCUUUGCUCAAGUGUCUUAACCUCUCUGAGCCUCAGCUUACUUUUCUAUAAAAUUAGAAUAAUAAAGCUAACUCUACAAGAUUGUGAAGAUUAGAGUUAAGGUGUAAAGUGCUUGGAGCAGUGAAUGGUGUGUUUUUAGUAACUGCCAAAAAUGUUUGGUAUCCUGUUUAUUGGUCCAUCCAGAAUAUAACUGUCCAUCUCCUUAAUACACCCCCCACUUUCCAUCCAUAUCAGUGCAUCAGCAUGUAUUUUAUGGCCCAUGGGGAACAUGGGAUCCCUGCUCUUGCUCCUAAAGCCCCAACUUCUACCUCUCCCUCCUAAGAACAUUGAGUUUAGCAUCUGUCUCAUGUAGGAUUGAUACCUCAGGGACAGGGAGCAGACCCAUUGACUUCAGAUCCUCCAGAGUAUCCUUCAGUGUCUGCAUUAAGUAAGCAAUGAAGAAUGAAAAGAGAUAAAGGAGGGUGUAUUUUUGACUUUCCAAAAGUUCAAGUAUGAUAACUUGCUCUUGGGUAAAAUUUGUUCCUCAGAGUAGACACCUAGUUGAGGGAGUGGCAGAAAUGACUUAGUUACUGACCUCAGUGCAUCUCUACCCUGCACCAUGUGUCUCAAUACAGCCUCCCUUCCAUCCUGGCUCUGGGCUUGCUGUGUGACCCUACCUUGCUUGGAGUCCUCCUUUUUCUUUUCUAUCAUUGACAAGAGGACAUCAUGAGUCUUAUUGCUGGAGGAUAUGGCCUUGGGAGAGCUGCAUGUCCCUAUCACUUGAGUGAGGCCAGAUUGGGGAAGGAGAGCUGUCUGGCAGAGCCAUCCCUAAUCCUGACCCUCAGAUGCCGUGCCUGAGAGGAUAAAUGCCUAUCAUUUAGAAUUGCUGAAUUUUACAGUGCUAGCCUACAAUAUUGGUUCACUAGGUAACUAGUACUCCCCAAAAUGAAUGCACACCAUAAGAUCAGAUUGCAGGUAUCCAGUGAAGAGAAAACCACAGAAGUUGGAACCAUUUAGUAUGAGGGAAUGUAUUCUUCCAUUUGCACUUUUCCUCAAGUCUAUAUUUGUAGCCCUUCCCUUCUUUCUGUAGAGACCCUGUCCUUUAAUUUAAUUGCUUACUGAUUCUCAUCAAAAACUCCAUGUGUGAAUCCAUAAUACAUACAUUUGUUUAUUGUCUAUUUUCUUCUGUGAGGUGAAAUAUCCAUAAGAGGGAUGGUCUUUCAGUGUCUCUUGGUGCUUAAUGAGUAAUCAUUGAAGGAAUCAAAGAAUGCUGUCUUAUGUUGAGUUCCUUGCAGUUCAGUCCCUGAGACAGUUUUGUAAGCAUGUUUUUUGUUUGUUUGUUCAUUUUUGUUUGUUUAAAUAUUCAAAGAGAGCAUAAUAAGGCUGAGGAGAAGUUGAAAUAUGACCCAGGCCCCCAAACAGUGUCAGCUAGCCUCUUGUGUCAGUGGAGGAUUAAUAUUGUCAUUAGGGGUGUGCUCAGCUUUUUAUUACCCAUUUAUCCAUGAAACCUCCCUAGAAAGUUGUAAGAGCUCUUGAGGGUGCUCUCUAUAGCUGCUGCAGAUGUCAAGGGAGCUGACAGUCAAGGUUGUGUCCAGCAGCAUUUCCAGAAAUUGGUAAAAGAGUCCCUUCAUUGAUAAUAGAUCCAAGUUGCAGAUGUCAGUAUCCAACAUAGUCUACUUCUGUUCAGCUCAAAUUCAUUACUUUCAUUUCCAUUCUGAGGAAGGAAAAACAAAUGUGUGUUUGUGUUCAGGAUUGUGGGAGUUUUUUGUAUGUUCAGAGUAUUUAGGUUUAUAUGUUUAGGUUUAUAUGUAUAAAUUUAGGGGCUUUGAGAACUGUGUACUAGAGGGUUAAAAGCUAAUAUAUAUAAAUUUUCAGUUGUAGAUGCAAACAAUUCCUUUAUUUAUUUAUUUUUUGUGUGGUGCUAAGAAUAGAAUCCAGUGCCUUACAUAAGCUAGGCAAGUUCUCUACCACUGAACCCCAGCCCCAGGCCCAGCCCCUAGCAUAUACAUUUUUGAAAUGAAAGAAUUUCAGGAGAAAAUUUGCUAGUUUUUGUUGAGCAUUUUACGUCAUGUGUGUGUGUUUCUCACUGUAUCCCAAUAGAGUCAAUGAGUUGAGAAGUAGUGAGAAUGAGCUUUAUUAGCAACAAGCUGGCCUGAUGGAAUGGAAGAUGGUAGGCUCAAAGGAACAUAUGAUGGUCCUAGGUGGGUGCAUCAGUUUUCUAGUGUUUCAGAAAAGUAGCCUCUUAUGGAGUGUGGGCUGUGUAUGUCUUAUCUUAUUCAUGUAUGUCACCAAGAGUUCCAGUCCAGUAGGUCUAAACAAGACUUAAGUGAUCAAAGUUUCUCCAUUAAAAUUCUUGAUUAGAGUGGUUUGUGGGUUUUGU
rnacentral:lncRNA from 1 species